rnacentral:rRNA from 1 species
GAACGCUGGCGGAACGCUUUACACAUGCAAGUCGAACGGUAACGAGGAGGAAAGCUUGCUUUCCUCUGUCGACGAGUGGCGAACGGGUGAGUAAGACAUCGGAACGUAUCCGCUCGUGGGGGACAACUUCCCGAAAGGGGAGCUAAUACCGCAUGAGAUCCGAGGAUGAAAGAGGGGGACCCGCGAGGGCCUCUCGCGAGCGGAGCGGCCGAUGACUGAUUAGCUAGUUGGUAAGGUAAAGGCUUACCAAGGCGACGAUCAGUAGCUGGUCUGAGAGGACGACCAGCCACACUGGGACUGAGACACGGCCCAGACUCCUACGGGAGGCAGCAGUGGGGAAUUUUGGACAAUGGGCGCAAGCCUGAUCCAGCUAUUCCGCGUGUGGGAAGACGGCCUUCGGGUUGUAAACCACUUUUGUAGAGAACAAAAAGUCUAUUGAUAAUACCGAUAGACGAUGACGGUAUUCUAAGAAUAAGCACCGGCUAACUACGUGCCAGCAGCCGCGGUAAUACGUAGGGUGCGAGCGUUAAUCGGAAUUACUGGGCGUAAAGGGUGUGCAGGCGGUUUUGCAAGAUGGAUGUGAAAGCCCCGGGCUUAACCUGGGAAAGCCAUACAUGACUGCAAGACUAGAGUGCGUCAGAGGGGGGUGGAAUUCCAAGUGUAGCAGUGAAAUGCGUAGAUAUUUGGAAGA